GGUAAAUUCCAAAAGGGGAAGUCUAUAAAAACUGACCAAAUCGAACGUUUUCAACCAACGGAAGGAGUGGAAAAUCACUAUUAUAUUCCCGACUAGGUAAAGGUAUUUUCCAAAGAAAAAGGUGGGUUGAAACUAGCUAAACAUCCCACGUGAAUGAAAGAUAUAUAGAUAAAAUCGGAUGAACAACCCAAACAGACGUAAUAUGCAACUCCAGGAAAAUUCAGAACGGAAAGUCCCCAAUCAAAUGGCAAAAUCAAAAGCUCAAACACAUCAAACAAAUUGAUAACAAUUGUGAUAAAUCUAACUUGGUACAGGUAUUUUCUUAUGUAGAAAAUGGUGGAUUAAACCGGGUUUUAUAGCUAGCUUAACCUCUUGUAGGACAGGCGCAUUAAAUAUAAUUAUAUUGACAACAAUGUGUAACAAAAUAAACAGACAUAAUAGGUUAAUAUGUCAAACCAAGAGUACAAUAGUCAACUUUGUUCUAUAAUCCUAACCACUUAAAACAAUCAAAUAUGUAACAAGACAACACAAAAGGGAAAAUAGGAAAGGCACACUAAACAAAAAUGAAGGACAAAAAUACAAACAUUUCCCGAGUCACUACAAAUGGGUAUCACCUAAAACAGACUAAACAGUAUAAGUAAUAUUCAAAAAAACGUAUUUAUUAAGUAUACUCUGACACGUUAUUAAGAUGACAAGCAACGUCAGAAUCCUUACUUCAAGAC
rnacentral:lncRNA from 1 species